rnacentral:rRNA from 1 species
AUUGAACGCUGGCGGCAUGCCUUACACAUGCAAGUCGAACGGCAGCGCGGGGCAACCUGGCGGCGAGUGGCGAACGGGUGAGUAACAUAUCGGAACAUACCCUAGAGUGGGGGAUAACGUAGCGAAAGUUACGCUAAUACCGCAUACGCACUAAGGUGGAAAGUGGGGGAUCUUCGGACCUCAUGCUCAUGGAGUGGCCGAUAUCUGAUUAGCUAGUUGGUGAGGUAAAAGGCUCACCAAGGCGACGAUCAGUAGCUGGUUUGAGAGAACGACCAGCCACACUGGAACUGAGACACGGUCCAGACUCCUACGGAGGCAGCAGUGGGGAAG